AAGAUCAUCUUCAAAAGUAUAUAUCGACACGCUAUACUACAUCCAGAAUGGUAAUUUUUGCUUCUGGAGUGUGAAGCAUGAGGACCUUGUUGAGCAAGUGAAGAAGUUGUUUACCAAAUUGUCAUCGGAUCCAACCACGACUUCUGAAUUAGUUGCCAAAGGGCCAGCAAUUUUUUCAGAAUUUUUUGUGUUAAAAUCCUUUGGUUUUUUAUUUCUCUUAUUUUUUCUUUUUUUCCUCGGAUCUGACAGUGGGUGUUUUGGUUCACUCCUUAUUUUUUGUAUUAAAUGGGGGAGUGGUGAGAGAGAGAGGAGGGUAAUGUUAUUUUGUGGCUUUGUAUAUAAGGUAGUAAUUUUUUGAUUGAGAAUUGUGAAUUCAAUUUUUGAAUAUGUUA